CCUANGGGGGGCUGCAGUCGAGAAUCUUCCGCAAUGGGCGAAAGCCUGACGGAGCGACGCCGCGUGGUAGACGAAGUCCUUAGGGACGUAAAUACCUUUUAUGAGGGAGAAAUUUAUUGAUAGUACCUCAUGAAUAAGGACCUGCUAAACUCGUGCCAGCAGCAGCGGUAAUACGAGUGGUCCAAGCGUUAUCCGGAAUUAUUGGGCGUAAAGGGUGUGUAGGUGGUCUCGUUAGUCUUUUGUUAAAAAUCCCGGCUUAACCGGGAAGAUGCGAAAGAAACGGCGAGACUAGAGAGUGCGAGAGGUUUACAGAACUCAUGGUGUAGGGGUGAAAGCCGUUGAUAUCAUGGGGAAUACCAAAAGCGAAGGCAGUAAGCUGGCGCAUAUCUGACACUGAAACACGAAAGCGUGGGGAUCGAACGGGAUUAGAUACCCCGNUANUC
rnacentral:rRNA from 1 species